GAGGACUCGAAACGUCAACUCUUUUCUUCUCCGCCGAUGCUGCCAGACCUGCUGAGUUUUUCCAGGUAAUUCUGUUUUUGUUCCACCAGGAAUAUGUCCCAUCAGAGCUGGCCCCCUUAGUGAAGAGUUUUUAUUGGAUUCAAAUUCCAUCAUUUACCAAGGGUGGGAUUUGAACGUGGGUCCCCAGAGAAUGACCAUGGCCUCCUAGAUUACCAGUCCAGUGACAAUAGCACUACGCCAGCACCACCCCACAGCCUGGCAGAAUUAUCUGAUGUAUCUGCAGCUACUUCUGGUCUCACCAAGCAACUCUCAGAGUUUUCUGACACCGGGGCUGUAACGGUGGGCGGCCCGAGGGCAGAGUUAAAUCCUGGCUGUUCGGUGUUCUUUGGUCGCUGGAAGUGCUUUGUGGAAGAAGUGAGAUGCGUACGGACUUGUAUUCCUGAUUUGGGAACCUGAGUCCUCCUGCGGAGAGAUCCAUUUUUGCAUUGCACCGCUAAAGAGGCCAGAGUGGCCCUUUAAAUUCGAC